AUUGAACGCUGGCGGCAGGCUUAACACAUGCAAGUCGAGCGGAGAGAGGUAGCUUGCUACUGAUCUUAGCGGCGGACGGGUGAGCAAUGCUUAGGAAUCUGCCUAUUAGUGGGGGACAACAUUUCGAAAGGAAUGCUAAUACCGCAUACGUCCUACGGGAGAAAGCAGGGGAUCUUCGGACCUUGCGCUAAUCGAUGAGCCUAAGUCGGAUUAGCUAGUUGGUGGGGUAAAGGCCUACCAAGGCGACGAUCUGUAGCGGGUCUGAGAGGAUGAUCCGCCACACUGGGACAGAGACACGGCCCAGACUCCUACGGGAGGCAGCAGUGGGGAAUAUUGGACAAUGGGCGGAAGCCUGAUCCAGCCAUGCCGCGUGUGUGAAGAAGGCCUUAUGGUUGUAAAGCACUUUAAGCGAGGAGGAGGCUACUUUAGUUAAUACCUAGAGAUAGUGGACGUUACUCGCAGAAUAAGCACCGGCUAACUCUGUGCCAGCCGCCGCCGUAA
rnacentral:rRNA from 1 species